UUCCUGAUAACUCAGUUGGUAAAGAAUCUGCCUGCAAUGCAGGAGACCCUGGUUCGAUUCCUGGGUAGGGAA
rnacentral:tRNA from 1 species